AAUGUAGAGGCUGCGGUGAUCAUUAGUAGCAUAUGCGCAUGAGUUCCCACUCAGUUUAUGGUAUGUGAAAGGGAAAACCGCCGAAGUGUUUAUGAAGGACAGGAGUUUGAUCCUAAGUCCCGGGAGUCAUAAAUGCUGGGGCUCAGAUUAAUAGUCUGAGAACUGUCAUCUUAUGUGAGAUGGAGUGCUACGGUU
rnacentral:ncRNA from 1 species